ACUAACAUAGCCCUGAGGAAGAUAACGGGAAGAGAGCAGUCUGGAGAUGAACCCACAGUGAGACUGAGAGCACACAAGUGAAACCACAAGUGACUGCAGUUUGCAGCAAAGACUUCAACAAUGAAAUAAAAUGAGACUAGUUCAAAUAAGAAUCCAGCACAUUUCAGGAUGAUGAAAUGGCAUUUAGAUGUACUGAUGUAAUGGUACUUAAGAUGUUUCAUUUCAUACACACCUUAAUGAGCUGCCCGUCUCCUGUCCCAAUGAAGAAAACCAUCCAGCCUCUCUGCCUCACUGCCAGCACAGAGGUCAUGUAGCUGUGCCUGAAGAGGACUGCCUUUGGUUUCAGGACCUUUGGCCGAGAAACAAACACACUGAUCAUCAGAUCUGAUACUUUAGAUAUCUUUAGAUUAGAACUCAAGAUGGUUAAAAUAGAAAUAAGCUGUCAUCACUCCAAACCUAAUGAAGUGCUUUAAAUUUAUGAACCC
ensembl:lncRNA